GUACUGUUUCUUAAUGCAUCAUUUAUUUGUCUAAUAUAUCAUUCAAAUAUUUAUCGAGGGCCAACUAUGUUCAAGGCUGCGGGGAUAUGACAAGCAAGGAUGUUGUUUUCAUGAAACUUACAUUCUAGGAUAGACAGAUAGACAAUGAUGAGAUAGACAAUGGCAGACAGACAAUGAUGAGAUAAACAUAUAUAUGAGUUGUUAAGUAGUGGUAAGACCUAUGAAGACAAAAGAAACUAGUUAAGAGGCAAAAAGUGCUACAGGGAUACAAGUUUUCAUAAGAAAGUCAGAUAAGUCCCCUCUGAACAAGCAACGUUUGGAUAGAGGCCUAAAAGAAGGGAGUGAGUGAGCCAGACAGCUAGGAGAAGACAUCCCAGAGAGAGGGAACUAUCAGUGUGAAAUCCCUAAGACUGGUAUGUGCUUGUGUCCCAGGAACAUUAAGGAGGCUGGAGUGGCUGCAAAGAGGCAGGAGGGGAGCAGUAGGAGACAAAGACAGAGAGGCUACAGUGGCAAUCAAAGCAUGUCAGACAGCGCUUAAACACUCAGGACAUUAUCAUUAUAAGAAUUUCUACCUUAUUCUCUGAAUAAGAUGAGAAGCCACUGGGGACUUUUAAGAAAAGAAAUCACUGGCUUCUGUGCAGAAAAGAAACAAGAGUGAAAACAGGAGGAAAAAAAAAAGUCACUAGGAGGCUAGUGCAAUAAUCCAAGUGAGAAAUGGACCAGAAUGGUAGCAGUGGAGAUGGUGAGGAGUGUUGGACAUUGGGUACACAACAAAGGCAGUAGUGAAGAAUGAUGUCAAGAUGUGUCGGCUUAUAUGACUGCAAGAAUGGAGUUAUUUACUGAGAUGGGGACAGGCAGCACCAAGCACAGUGCCUGACGAAGUACACACUCAGUGACUAGUGAAUGGAUGACUGAAUGAAAGAGUGAAGAAGUGAGACUUCCCAACAACUCCAUACAGAACUGGACCAACUGCUUCCACAGCUCAUCUUGGUCAAGUCUGAUUCCCAUAGGUGGCAUGACCGAUGGAGAUGCCCCUGGCAUCAAUGCCUCCUCUUUCCCUUUGGUCCAGGUCACACCUUCAAUUCAAGGUUCCUAAAUGCUGAUAUUAUUUUACUGUUACAAAAUUUAGGAGAAUAUGAAAAAAAUACAUUUUCUUCAUAAUAUUAUAGAUUAAUUUCCUCAAUUUUAUGCCACUAUGGUGGCCUGAUCUUAAAUUUUCCAUACAGGUCUACUUGAAAAUUUACUCUAGGGUUCUUUUGUGAUCUCACUCAACCUGCCAGACCAUCCUAGCUCUACAGUUUGCACCCCCAACAUCAUACUCUGAAACCCUCUCAUCCUUGCGCUAGCUUUAUUUGUAGUCAGAGUAGUUUGUGGUCUAUAUUUCAGCGCAAGGAAAACUCUACUAUCCAUUUUCUAAGGCACAAGUUGAUCUUAUGCUUAAGAGUCCAGCACAAAGACGAAUUUCUCUGCAUUGACUUUCCCUUUUCAUGAGCUCUUCAAUAAAAUGGGUUAACAAAUGAAGCCGUUACUUUCAAUUAAUAUUUAUUCAAAACAGAAUGAUCUCUAUGUGACUAGCUGCACCUGGGAAGGAAGGUUAACAUAAGGGCAUUUAUAUUAAAAGUCAGGAGUGGAGUCCUGAAGGGUCAAUGUGAGAGCAACAAGGUUGACCUCACCAUUUCCCCAGUUGGUAACCCUACAUAAGAUAUAGGUAUUAGGCAGUACACAGUGUGAUUCCUGGUGUUUUUUUUUAAAAAAGUUCAUCUUGCUAUUUAGAGGCAAAGACAUG
rnacentral:lncRNA from 1 species